rnacentral:rRNA from 1 species
GAGUUUGAUCUUGGCUCAGGACGAACGCUGGCGGCGUGCUUAAUACAUGCAAGUCAAACGCGUGUAGCAAUACACGAGUGGCGCACGGGUGAGCAACACGUGGAUAUCUGCCUUUUGGUUCGGAAUAACCCUGGGAACUAGGGCUAAUACCGGAUGGUUCCUACGGGAUAAAGAUUUAUCGCCAAAAGAUGAGUCCGCGUACGAUUAGCUAGUUGGUGAGGUAAUGGCUCACCAAGGCGACGAUCGUUAGCUGGUCUGAGAGGACGAUCAGCCACACUGGGACUGAGACACGGCCCAGACUCCUACGGGAGGCAGCAGUGGGGAAUAUUGGACAAUGGGCGAAAGCCUGAUCCAGCAAUGCCGCGUGAGUGAUGAAGGCCUUAGGGUUGUAAAGCUCUUUUACCCGGGAUGAUAAUGACAGUACCGGGAGAAUAAGCCCCGGCUAACUCCGUGCCAGCCGCCGCCGU